GUUUAGCUCUCAUAAUCAGUUAUAAAGAAUUGCUAUUUGCAGUCUUGCUUUUUGAUUCAAAAUGAGACUCAGAGCAAUGAAUUGCAAAUAAGAAUUCGAUUCAGACAAAGACAAUUCAAGAUGUGAUCCUUGAUCCUUUGUGAUAUCCAGAGCCCAACACCAAGUAGAAGCCUGUUUCCAGAAGCAUCUUGUUGAGGACGCCCUCGACAGCAAAAUUGAAGCCAAAGGAUCUGUCGAUUGUCGGCACCUCUAUCUCAUGACCACAAUUGUCUACAUAAUGAGAAACAAGCCAAGAACAAACUCAGCAGAUUAACUAAACAAAUUAGGCUAUAGAAAAAACGUAAAAAAAGUGUUUGUUGAAUAAGUGCAAGCUUUUACUUAGCAUUUUCUCAAAGGAUCUGGGUUGCAGGAA